UCCACUAGCCGCUUCAUCUGUUUCUUUUGCUCCAUGGUAGGGAGGGAGUCUCCAGACUGUUCAAGGGAGAGUGGUAGAACAGGGGACGGAGUUUUUAUCGAAGGAUGAAGAACACGAAUGUGGAUAGUUGUCUGUGAGAACAGAAAGGAAUUGCAAUAUGAAGGACUGGGGCAUAGAUGGACAGGGAGAUAUGAAGUUCAUUUAUGGGACAAAGGGUCUUGGCAUCCAACAUAAAGGAAUAAGGGAAAGCAAGUUUAUCUGGGAGCUCAUGGUGAAGAAGAAUCCAUAGCAAGAGCAUAUGAUUUGGCAGCACUCAAGUACUGGGGAGCAUCAACUUCUAAAAAAUUUCCGGUGUCUGAAUACUUAACAUUAAAAGAAUACUUGGCCUCUCUAAGAAGAAGAAGCAGUGACUUCUCAAAUGGUGUAUACAAGGGCAAUGGUGAUUACAACCCCUUCAUCAAAUAUGACUAUUUUGAUAUUGUCACGUGCCACAUUAUCCAGUUGUAAUUCAGUCUCUGUCUUUGUUUUUACUUUGAUGUGACUCUGAAUAACCAUACUUUACCGUCAAAAUCACACCCAUCCAAUGAUCAUGAUUUGUAUUUGCAUGAAAUUCUAUACCUUGGAUGUUGUUGGUGUAAUUCUAUAUGAGAUAUGGACAUCAAGCUACCUAUUCAAUUUGUGUGUUGUUCUAAAUUA